rnacentral:rRNA from 1 species
AUUGAACGCUGGCGGCAUGCUUUACACAUGCAAGUCGAACGGUAACAGGUUAAGCUGACGAGUGGCGAACGGGUGAGUAAUGCAUAGGAACGUGCCCGAUCGUGGGGGAUAACGCAGCGAAAGCUGCGCUAAUACCGCAUACGAUCUGAGGAUGAAAGCGGGGGACCGUAAGGCCUCGCGCGAUCGGAGCGGCCGAUGUCAGAUUAGGUAGUUGGUGGGGUAAAGGCUCACCAAGCCGACGAUCUGUAGCUGGUCUGAGAGGACGACCAGCCACACGGGGACGGAGAAACGGCCCAGACGCCUACGGGAGGCAGCAGUGGGGAAUUUUGGACAAUAGGCGAAAGCCUGAUCCAGCAAUGCCGCGUGCAGGAAGAAGGCCUUCGGGUUGUAAACUGCUUUUGUACGGAGCGAAAAGGCUCUCUCUAAUACAGGGGGCUCAUGACGGUACCGUAAGAAUAAGCACCGGCUAACUACGUGCCAGCCGCCGCAGUAACAC